UCAAAAGUAGGAGAAAUAAUGCCACGACACAACACAACUGAAUUUGUUGUCUUCACUUUUUUCCUAUUUUUCUUUCCCUUCUUGGUUUGUGUUUUUCAUGUUCAUCGGGUUCAUGUUCAUCGGGUUGGUCUAGCUGUAGCUGCAGGUUUGGACUCUCGAGAAUUCAGAAGAAACCUCGAAGUUUUCUUUUCUUGGUUUUUUGUUUUUAU
rnacentral:ribozyme from 14 species